CCAAAGGCUCUUUUAAGAGCCACCCACUCACUCUCAAAAAGAGCUG
rfam:Manacus vitellinus contig14002, whole genome shotgun sequence.